GUCCACGCCGUAAACGGUGGAUGCUGGAUGUGGGGACCAUUCCACGGUCUCCGUGUCGGAGCCAACGCGUUAAGCAUCCCGCCUGGGGAGUACGGCCGCAAGGCUAAAACUCAAAGAAAUUGACGGGGGCCCGCACAAGCGGCGGAGCAUGCGGAUUAAUUCGAUGCAACGCGAAGAACCUUACCUGGGCUUGACAUGUUCCCGACAGCCGCAGAGAUGCGGUCUCCCUUCGGGGCGGGUUCACAGGUGGUGCAUGGUAGUCGU
rnacentral:rRNA from 1 species